UGAAACAACGUCACGAUGCAAAGACCACGUGCUGUCUCUUGGAUACCUGUUCGGGCAACACCAAACAUUGAUUGGGAGCGCCGUUCCAGAGUGACGCCAAAGAGUUCAAUUUCAUACUCGGUGCCACCGGUAAGGCCCGUUAAAACCUUGGUUCUCUCGUCACCGAAGGCGUGGAAUUCCUGCGGAUGCGUUGUCUUUCUGAUGUCUCUGAUUUUGAUGACGAAUCUAUCAAACAAGUCUUCAUCAGCAGUCCACGCGAGUCGCAAACUCUCAUCUGUGAUGUCCGAGACGAACAUGUGCUCCACUUCUGGCUCUGCCUCUAGUUGAAAAGGGAAUAUAACGCUGAUAUUUUCCGGCACCAUUAGGAGGAUUGGACGGUCGUUCAAGGCGAAGGCAGACAGACGGAGAACGCGGACACACACUGGUCAAUAUGCAGUCCGAUAGCAUAGGGGGCUACAUGAGGCAAUAUUGGCUGGACACGCAAUCCAAGGUCACACCAUGCAGUGAUGUGUCCUUUGAAAGGCGUAUCCUUUACACUGUUUCUACAUCAGAGGGAAAACACAGUUUUAAAAUAUGAAAACAAACAGGUAUUUGCUUGCUCAUAUUUUGGAGUAGGAAACAGAUGAGCACCAGGCAUGUCUGCUGGAACAAAAUCUGCAAUCAGAAAGUACAGGCAAGAUGAGAAUGUGCAUCCAGGGAAGACGAUCAGUUGAAAAAGUAAAGAAGUUGUUCUGGAAGAAAGACAAAUGUUAGAGGAGGUGAGUUGUGCUGUGUUGAGGUCUCCCCACCAAAGAAGGGGCAUGGAUAUAUUUUAGGCAACAUGGCUUUCAACUGCUAUGCAUUGUUCCAAAGGGUGGAUAGAGAAA